rnacentral:rRNA from 1 species
ACGAACGCUGGCGGCGUGCCUAAUCCAUGCAAGUAGAACGCUGAAGCUUGGUGCUUGCACCGAGCGGAUGAGUUGCGAACGGGUGAGUAACGCGUAGGUAACCUGCCUGGUAGCGGGGGAUAACUAUUGGAAACGAUAGCUAAUACCGCAUAAGAGUAGAUGUUGCAUGACAUUUGCUUAAAAGGUGCAAUUGCAUCACUACCAGAUGGACCUGCGUUGUAUUAGCUAGUUGGUGAGGUAACGGCUCACCAAGGCAACGAUACAUAGCCGACCUGAGAGGGUGAUCGGCCACACUGGGACUGAGACACGGCCCAGACUCCUACGGGAGGCAGCAGUAGGGAAUCUUCGGCAAUGGACGGAAGUCUGACCGAGCAACGCCGCGUGAGUGAAGAAGGGUUUCGGAUCGUAAAGCUCUGUUGUAAGAGAAGAACGAGUGUGAGAGUGGAAAGUUCACACUGUGACGGUAUCUUACCAGAAAGGGACGGCUAACUACGUG